AAAUGCACAUACUGUGAGCUCGAUGAGUAGGGCGGGACACGUGGUAUCCUGUCUGAAUAUGGGGGGACCAUCCUCCAAGGCUAAAUACUCCUGACUGACCGAUAGUGAACCAGUACCGUGAGGGAAAGGCGAAAAGAACCCCGGCGAGGGGAGUGAAAAAGAACCUGAAACCGUGUACGUACAAGCAGUGGGAGCACGCUUAGGCGUGUGACUGCGUACCUUUUGUAUAAUGGGUCAGCGACUUAUAUUCUGUAGCAAGGUUAACCGAAUAGGGGAGCCGAAGGGAAACCGAGUCUUAACUGGGCGUUAAGUUGCAGGGUAUAGACCCGAAACCCGGUGAUCUAGCCAUGGGCAGGUUGAAGGUUGGGUAACACUAACUGGAGGACCGAACCGACUAAUGUUGAAAAAUUAGCGGAUGACUUGUGGCUGGGGGUGAAAGGCCAAUCAAACCGGGAGAUAGCUGGUUCUCCCCGAAAGCUAUUUAGGUAGCGCCUCGUGAAUUCAUCUCCGGGGGUAGAGCACUGUUUCGGCAAGGGGGUCAUCCCGACUUACCAACCCGAUGCAAACUGCGAAUACCGGAGAAUGUUAUCACGGGAGACACACGGCGGGUGCUAACGUCCGUCGUGAAGAGGGAAACAACCCAGACCGCCAGCUAAGGUCCCAAAGUCAUGGUUAAGUGGGAAACGAUGUGGGAAGGCCCAGACAGCCAGGAUGUUGGCUUAGAAGCAGCCAUCAUUUAAAGAAAGCGUAAUAGCUCACUGGUCGAGUCGGCCUGCGCGGAAGAUGUAACGGGGCUAAACCAUGCACCGAAGCUGCGGCAGCGACGCUGAUGCGUUGUUGGGUAGGGGAGCGUUCUGUAAGCCUGUGAAGGUGUGCUGUGAGGCAUGCUGGAGGUAUCAGAAGUGCGAAUGCUGACAUAAGUAACGAUAAAGCGGGUGAAAAGCCCGCUCGCCGGAAGACCAAGGGUUCCUGUCCAACGUUAAUCGGGGCAGGGUGAGUCGACCCCUAAGGCGAGGCCGAAAGGCGUAGUCGAUGGGAAACAGGUUAAUAUUCCUGUACUUGGUGUUACUGCGAAGGGGGGACGGAGAAGGCUAUGUUGGCCGGGCGACGGUUGUCCCGGUUUAAGCGUGUAGGCUGGUUUUCCAGGCAAAUCCGGAAAAUCAAGGCUGAGGCGUGAUGACGAGGCACUACGGUGCUGAAGCAACAAAUGCCCUGCUUCCAGGAAAAGCCUCUAAGCAUCAGGUAACAUCAAAUCGUACCCCAAACCGACACAGGUGGUCAGGUAGAGAAUACCAAGGCGCUUGAGAGAACUCGGGUGAAGGAACUAGGCAAAAUGGUGCCGUAACUUCGGGAGAAGGCACGCUGAUAUGUAGGUGAAGCGACUUGCUCGUGGAGCUGAAAUCAGUCGAAGAUACCAGCUGGCUGCAACUGUUUAUUAAAAACACAGCACUGUGCAAACACGAAAGUGGACGUAUACGGUGUGACGCCUGCCCGGUGCCGGAAGGUUAAUUGAUGGGGUCAGCGCAAGCGAAGCUCUUGAUCGAAGCCCCGGUAAACGGCGGCCGUAACUAUAACGGUCCUAAGGUAGCGAAAUUCCUUGUCGGGUAAGUUCCGACCUGCACGAAUGGCGUAAUGAUGGCCAGGCUGUCUCCACCCGAGACUCAGUGAAAUUGAACUCGCUGUGAAGAUGCAGUGUACCCGCGGCAAGACGGAAAGACCCCGUGAACCUUUACUAUAGCUUGACACUGAACAUUGAGCCUUGAUGUGUAGGAUAGGUGGGAGGCUUUGAAGUGUGG
rnacentral:rRNA from 1 species